CCAAUAGCGUAUAUUAAAGUUGUUGCAGUCAAAAAGCUCGUAGUUGAAUUUCGGGAUCAAUAUGUUGGUCGUGCCUUUGGUACGUACUGGUAUUAUUGGUUUCUCCUUUCUGAUGAAUCACGAUGUCAUUAAUUUGGUGCCAUGGGGAGUCAGGACUGUUACUUUGAAAAAAUUAGAGUGUUUAAAGCAGGCUUACGCUUGAAUACAUUAGCAUGGAAUAAUGAAAUAGGACGUUUAAUUCUAUUUUGUUGGUUUCUAGGAUUGACGUAAUGAUUAAUAGGGAUAGUUGGGGGCAUUAGUAUUCAAUUGUCAGAGGUGAAAUUCUUGGAUUUAUUGAAGACUAACUACUGCGAAAGCAUUUGCCAAGGAUGUUUUCAUUAAUCAAGAACGAAAGUUAGGGGAUCGAAGACGAUCAGAUACCGUCGUAGUCUUAACCAUAAACUAUGCCGACUAGGGAUCGGAUGAUGUUAAUUUAUGACUCAUUCGGCGCCUUACG
rnacentral:rRNA from 1 species